GUGAGUAACGCGUAAGUAACCUACCCCUUUAUUGGGGAUAACAGUUCGAAAGGGCUGCUAAUACCGAAUAAUCUCCGAUAAUGCGAGUUAUUGGAGGAAAGGUAACCUCUUGAUAAAGUUACCGUAGAGGGAGGGGCUUGCGUACCAUUGGCUAGUUGGCGAGGUAACGGCUCCCCAAGGCGACGAUGGUUAGCGGGUCUGAGAGGAUGAUCCGCCACACUGGAACUGAAACACGGACCAGACUCCUACGGGAGGCAGCAGUGAGGAAUAUUGCGCAAUGGGGGCAACCCUGACGCAGCGACGCCGCGUGAGUGAAGAAGGCCUUUGGGUUGUAAAGCUCUGUCGGGAGGGAAGAAAUGCUUGGCGGUUAAUAGCCGUCAGGUUUGACGGUACCUUCAAAGGAAGCACCGGCUAACUCCGUGCCAGCAGCCGCGGUAAUACGGAGGGUGCGAGCGUUAAUCGGAAUUACUGGGCGUAAAGGGCGCGUAGGCGGCCCGGCAAGUCAGAUGUGAAAGCCCACGACUCAAUCGUGUGAAGUGCAUUUGAAACUAUCGGGCUUGAGUACCGGCGGGGGAGAUGGAAUUCCCGGUGUAGAGGUGAAAUUCGUAGAUAUCGGGAGGAAUACCGGUGGCGAAGGCGAUCUUCUGGACGGAUACUGACGCUGAGGCGCGAAAGCGUGGGGAGCAAACAGGAUUAGAUACCCU
rnacentral:rRNA from 1 species